CAAGGCGUUGCAAUUUGCUAUGUCUAAUUUGGAUAUGUCAACAUACGAAUAAAAGUGACUAGACCUUCUAUCCGAACAGGAAGCUUUAGUUGAUAUAAUUUUAGUGCGCUGUACUGCAUUAUUGACUUAACGAUGCAGUAGAUGUUUUGUUUUUGUUUCAGAUGAAAAUGCUUGGCUUGUUUUCGUCUCAGCGUUUGUUUUAUUUUACUUUAUGUUGGCCAUUUGUCUGCAACAGGCAUUUAAAUGUUAAAAUGAAUUUCUUCUGAUGAUAAAUUAUAAUUGUGUAGCCUAUGAUAUUUUACCUAUGGGCAUGUAACAAACAAACAGGGAAAUCAGAAUAGAUGGGAUACAGAUAAAACAAAGCAAGCAACAGACAGAUAAAAAAAAAAAAAGCAUUUCAGUUUUGGCUUGGGGGUACAAAUGAAGUAAGCAUAGAUUAGAUUUUUUAUCUAGAAAAUGUAUGUAAUCUACUAUUACCACCAUUUAAUGACUGACAACUUAACGGAAAGAAUCUUUUCAGAGUUUAUUCAGAUUUGUUGCAAGAAUAAAGCAGAGCCAUUUCAAAGCACGAGCCGUGUAAACUUUUAAGUUGAUUUAUUUAUUUAAUUGUUGAAUUGUCUCCACCUCUCUGCCACAACGAGGUUUAAAAAAAUACAUAGCCUAUAAAAUACAAAAACAAAGCACAAAUAAACACAAUCGUUGUAGCCUAAUAAACACCAACUAUUUCAUAUUGUUUAAUUAGUUUCAGUGGUACCUCUGGUACGUGGAACUUGAACAUAUCAGGCCUUUCAGAGGAAAAAAGAACCAUCAGAGAUGUUCGUCGUAAAAAAUACCCUGAGUGGUGAUUUAUUAUUAUUGUUGUUUGUUUAUUUGUAGACUGGUCCACCCCUGGAAUAACCUACAUAUAACCUAUUGUAUAUUGUCGAGGACAGGGACACUCGUGCACUGCGAGCGAGGAACAGUUAGUGCUGAUUUUCAUUUGCAUAAAUUUUCAUACGUUUAAGUGAAAAUAAUAGCGGAGCAGUGGAGAGCGGGAUUCACUCGAGACGGAACAAGAGAGAGAGGGAGCUGCGCUGGAUUCAUUCCUGCGAUGCCUCACUGCCUCAUUGAAAUGACAUCACAGAGACGUCGUGAACAUUUCCUGCUCUACAGAGCUGAAACUGUUCAGUCUGAGGAAAGUUUCAAACGUGCUAUGCUUUCUCCUGCAAGUGACUGCAAUACAAAUCUCUUUUCCCCCUGCAGGUAAGAGCAAGUCCCUCUGAUAAACACAAGACACACAAGGCCUUCUUUCAGUGAAAGCUCCUUUAUAGGGGCGGGAUGGCUAGGAUUAUCUUUCCUUCUGUCCUCGUCUCUUUCUCUCUCUCUCUUGUGCGCCAUCUCAGCUGGCUGAGUAUUCCAGCAAUGUAAAGAAAGUUGUUUCGGACAGAUGUUUACAUUAUAUUCUGGAUAUGGCCACAUAUUGUGCACAGCUCUAAGUCAUCAAAAGCGACCGGCUGACUCAUUGAGAGAUUUUAAUAAUUUCCUUCUAGAAAGAACACUACAGCACCUCUGAAAGGCUCCAGCAAAGGUGUUAUUCGGCUAUGUUUGAGGUUUUUUGUGGGUAAAGCUCAAACCAGCUGGAGCAAAAAUCACAGAAUUGUCCUCUCCUUCUUUAUUUCUCAUGUGAGGCAUUUGCAUUUUACUCAGCUUAGCAAAAGAAAUAGCCUGCAGCGAGAAAACUCUAUCCACUAUGCAUAUAAGAAAGAAAGAGAGGGAGAACGAGAGAAUAAAAGAUGUGAAAAAGAACACAGACAGCCUGACUGAAAGGAAAUGAGAGAUAAUCUCAAUGCUACUGUCCAUUUUUCCAAUGUAGUUGCAAGCCAUCAUCCGUAAUGGGAAAAAUGCAUCAGCAUGCGCCGCUAGACGAAGUGCAAUCCACACGUUCUUUUGUCACCUAACCACGGAUAUCUUCACUCUAUGGUCUUAAAUAGUCUUUUGAUGGUAUCUCGAGACCAAUUUACAGAUCUUCACCAUUAUUACCAUAGAGCAGACACAUUAUGUCGGCCCGUCUUUUGGGAAGGGGGCAUUCUCAGAGAAGAAUCUUCACAUGUUACCUGAGGACGCCACAGGCUUGUUAUCAUCCUCAGACCCUGCCAACUGUAUGUGUCCCCAUCUCUUCUGACAACUAAAGGGACCCAUCACUGUUUCAGCCCACAGAGAAUGACUCAAAGGGCCUUUAAAGUGAGUAAAACCCAUUCUCUUUAAUUCUGAUUACACUCUGAAAGUGUCUUUAGCAUGUGGCGGCUAAAUUGGGCUAUCAGCGCUAAGUAGCGUCGGGGAAGAAAAGAGCCAAUUAUGCCAGUCAAAGCCAGAUGAUGAUUCUCAUCUUCACUCACUCUCUAACACACACUCACACACUUGCACACAAACAAAAGAGAGGAGAGGAAUAUGUGUCUUUUGUUCUAAAAUAUAGAACACAUAUUUCCUGACACACCUUUCACAGUACUGAGAGACACCUACGGAUCCAUGAUUUCACUCUUACUGACUUCAUAAUGACUCUCUACAUCGAUCUGUUUAAUAUAAAUAGCCAGAGGCAGUAAGAUAUAAAUUCAUAUCCAUACCAGUCAUAAAUUCUUAUAGUUUAAAAAUAAAGCAAUAUGUUCUAAAUCAA